GAUGAACGCUGGCGGCGUGCUUAACACAUGCAAGUCGAACGGGAAACCUUUUAUUGAAGCUUCGGCAGAUUUAGCUGGUUUCUAGUGGCGGACGGGUGAGUAACGCGUGGGUAACCUGCCUUAUACAGGGGGAUAACAGUCAGAAAUGGCUGCUAAUACCGCAUAAGCGCACAGAGCUGCAUGGCUCAGUGUGAACAACUCCGGUGGUAUAAGAUGGACCCGCGUUGGAUUAGCUGGUUGGUGGGGUAACGGCCCACCAAGGCGACGAUCCAUAGCCGGCCUGAGAGGGUGAACGGCCACAUUGGGGCUGAGACACGGCCCAGACUCCUACGGGAGGCAGCAGUGGGGAAUAUUGCACAAUGGGGGAAACCCUGAUGCAGCGACGCCGUGUGAAGGAAGAAGUAUCUCGGUAUGUAAACUUCUAUCAGCAGGGAAGAUAAUGACGGUACCUGACUAAGAAGCCCCGGCUAACUACGUG
rnacentral:rRNA from 1 species